rnacentral:rRNA from 1 species
CUGGCGGCGUGCUAACACAUGCAAGUCGAACGGGAAAACAGGGGCAACUCUGUGAGUACAGUGGCGUACGGGUGAGUAACACGUGACUACCUACCUUUGAGUGGGGGAUAACCCCGGGAAACCGGGGCUAAUACCGCAUAACAUCGCAAGAUCAAAGGAGCAAUCCGCUUAAAGAGGGGGUCGCGGCUGAUUAGCUAGUUGGUGAGGUAACGGCUCACCAAGGCGAUGAUCGGUAGCCGGCCUGAGAGGGCGCACGGCCACACUGGAACUGAAACACGGUCCAGACUCCUACGGGAGGCAGCAGUGGGGAAUUUUGCGCAAUGGGGGAAACCCUGACGCAGCAACGCCGCGUGGAGGAUGAAGUCCCUUGGGACGUAAACUCCUUUCGACCCGGACGAUAAUGACGGUACGGGUGGAAGAAGCACCGGCUAACUUCGUGCCAGCAGCCGCGGUAAUACGAGGGGUGCAAGCGUUGUUCGGAAUUAUUGGGCGUAAAGGGCGCGUAGGCGGCGCGGUAAGUCACCUGUGAAAUCUCCCGGCUCAACUGGGAGCCUGCAGGCGAAACUGCCGUGCUGGAGUAUGGGAGAGGUGCGUGGAAUUCCCGGUGUAC